ensembl:lncRNA
UCUUUUAACAACCAUUAUCUUUGCUCCCUGUAGUGUCCCAACUCUCCACUCGCUAUACCUCUUCAAAGAAACCCUCCUUUGAGGACCGCUACAAAGAUAGGUCUCCUGUACACUCCUUGCUAACUGCUCCUUUGGAUGACCUUAAGGCAGCUCCUGCAACAUCCUUGGAACGACGGUCCAGUCUGAAGAAGAACUGCUCCCCCCCAGAAGCCACAACUACGACCACCAGUAGAAGUGUUUCUUUCAGCACCUCUACUUCAAUGUCCACCAUGAUCAGAUGUCAGGAAAAGAAAAUAGAGCAAGCCAAGGAAAAGGAGAAGAAGCUCUCCAAAUAAAUACAUGGG